rnacentral:rRNA from 1 species
GACGAACGCUGGCGGCGUGCCUAAUACAUGCAAGUAGAACGCACAGUUUAUACCGUAGCUUGCUACACCAUAGACUGUGAGUUGCGAACGGGUGAGUAACGCGUAGGUAACCUGCCUGGUAGCGGGUGAUAACUAUUGGAAACGAUAGCUAAUACCGCAUAAUAUUAAUUAUUGCAUGAUAAUUAAUUGAAAGGUGCAAUUGCACCACUACCAGAUGGACCUGCGUUGUAUUAGCUAGUAGGUGAGGUAACGGCUCACCUAGGCGACGAUACAUAGCCGACCUGGGAGGGUGAUCGGCCACACUGGGACUGAGACACGGCCCAGACUCCUACGGGAGGCAGCAGUAGGGAAUCUUCGGCAAUGGACGAAAGUCUGACCGAGCAACGCCGCGUGAGUGAAGAAGGUUUUCGGAUCGUAAAGCUCUGUUGUAAGAGAAGAACGGGUGUGAGAGUGGAAAGUUCACACUGUGACGGUAUCUUACCAGAAAGGGACGGCUAACUACGUG